rnacentral:ncRNA from 1 species
AAAAUCAGCCCUGAACCGAAGUUGGCAGUCAGUGGUUGAACAUGAAGAAAGCUGGGAGGUGGUAUUUCUUCAACUGCUUUUUUAAUUCUGAUCAUUUUUUUCACUGACCUGGUGAGGUGAGGGGCUGAGCCCUGAGGGACGCUCUCACUUUUGGUGCCCAGCGCCUGGUGCACACCGGGCAUGACCCGCUCUGGGAACAGCGGCAUGUGAGGAGUUUGACUGGGGUGGUACAGGUACAUCUCUCAAUGUGUAACACAGAUGUCCUCAGGAGAGCUCAGGGAGGAUGGAAACCUCCGACAGAGCAGGGGGGCAAAAGCUCGCUUAAUUCUUGAUUUUCAGUACAAAUAGAGGCCAUGAAAGCAGGACCUCGCGAUCGUCCUGGCUUCUGGGGUUUUAAACAAGAGGUGUCAGUAAAGUUCUCACAGGGAUAACUGUCUUGUAGUGGCCAAGCGUUCAUAGUGACAUCGCCGUUUGAUCCUUCGAUGUUGGCUCUUCCUAUCAUUGUGAAGCAGAAUUCAAGCAUUGGAUAGUUCACCCGCUAUUAGGAAACGUGAGCUGGGAUUAGGCCGUUGUGAAACAGGUUAGUUUUAU